CACGUAGGCGGCUCUUUAAGUCAGGGGUGAAAUCCUGGAGCUCAACUCCAGAACUGCCCUUGAUACUGAGGAGCUUGAGUCCGGGAGAGGUGAGUGGAACUGCGAGUGUAGAGGUGAAAUUCGUAGAUAUUCGCAAGAACACCAGUGGCGAAGGCGGCUCACUGGCCCGGUACUGACGCUGAGGCGCGAAAGCGUGGGAGCAAACA
rnacentral:rRNA from 1 species